rnacentral:rRNA from 1 species
UAGGGAAUCUUCGGCAAUGGGGGGAACCCUGACCGAGCAACGCCGCGUGAGUGAAGAAGGUUUUCGGAUCGUAAAGCUCUUUUGUUAAGGAAGAACGAGUGUGAGAAUGGAAAGUUCAUACUGUGACGGUACUUAACCAGAAAGGGACGGCUAACUACGUGCCAGCAGCCGCGGUAAUACGUAGGUCCCGAGCGUUGUCCGGAUUUAUUGGGCGUAAAGCGAGCGCAGGCGGUUAGAUAAGUCUGAAGUUAAAGGCAGUGGGUCAACCAUUUUGGGCUUUGGAAACUGUUUAACUUGAGUGCAGAAGGGGAGAGUGGAAUUCCAUGUGUAGCGGUGAAUUGCGUAGGUAUAUGGAGGAACACCGGUGGCGAAAGCGGAUCUCUGGUCUGUAACUGACGCUGAGGAUCGAAGGCGUGGGGGGCGAACAGG